GGACUUCAAGGAUUCAUUCUGAACCUUCAGGAUGAGGCAUUGCAGAGAUGGCUCCCACGCACCCCGGUGACCUCCAGCAGAGACACGCCAGGAAGACAGGCAGGGGCCGUGCAGCAGGAUCAUGUUCUGGGCUAGAAAGUACGUCCGCUCAUUACCCGACCUUUGCUAAGUACACCAACUAAUGGAGCGAGAGACAUGAAAGAUCUUCACAGGCCAUGUGGAAAUGUAAUUCACACCCAGCCCGAGGAGGUCACGGUGCUGCUCUAGAAGACUUUGGAGUGCCAUGAGGACAAGAAAACAAGAGGAAUAGACUUUGUCAGGGAGGAACAGCCAAGGAAGACUUCUCUGACCCUGCGGCAGCCUCAUUCCCCCACAGAUCACCACCGCAGCCAGCACCUAGCACCGGGCCUGGUUCCAGCAGGCGUUUGAGUGAAGGAUGGGCCUGAGGUGAAAGUCUCCUACAGCAGACCUCAGGUGUUUGUCAGGAGUGCUUGGUUUGUUUUUAAGAUUUGCUCCCCAUGGCUUGGAGCUAAAAUCUAGCUGAAAUGUCAUCCAGAAGGAGAGAAGCUGGUACCAGAGGCUCCCAAAGUGCACCCAACUCCCAAAUGGGACCCCUGGAAGGCCAACACUUCUCAGUCUCCCUCUCUCCGGAACAAGACCUUCGUGGGCUCCUAACAGGGAGAGGAAAACCCGAGCAAACUCUGUAAAGGUCAGCCCUGUCAACCCAGACAACCUGGCACACGGCAUCGAUCCCUUCCUGGGAAAAACCUCUUCUCCUACCAGCUCAAGCCAGCCACGAAGGCCUUCAGAAAAACAAAGAAGAGAAAAACCGAGAGAGAGGGCAAGAGUGAGGGAGUGAAUGCAGAAUGUGUCUCUUUUCUGCUUCUCGAGAGAGCCAUGGGCUUCACAGCUGGACGGCGGUGCUGGCUGGGCCCCUGUGAGCCUGGGCUCUGCUGUUUACUGGCUGUGAGGCAGCUGUGGACCUUAACUUGGUCCCCUGGAGACAGGACCCCGUGGGGUCUUCAGCCCAAUUCCUGCUGUCUCCAACCAUGGGACUGGAACACAAGAACCCUACAGGGAACCCAAGGGAAACAACCCCAUUGUCACAUUUACAACACAUCCACUGUGGGCUCCAGGGCCCAUCAGACCCCACCAGCUGGCCGUCCAUCAGAGGCAAGAACUGGGGCCUUCAAGCCACCUGAAGCCAACCAAAAUAUAUUAAUGGUCAGCCCAGUGUUUCCAAGGGGCAAGGGUGUCAUCAGCCACAAGCGAGUUGUGACUAUUAUCCCCCGAGGCUGGCUUCCCAUCUUUCUGUACCAGUCUGGCCCCUGUAGAGAUUUCCACUGGAGACCCCGGCUAUGCUGUGGCACUUUUUGAGCAGUCCUGGUUCCAUUUUAAUCUGUCCUCCUGCUGUGGUAUUAUUCCAAAGUCCCGUUCCGAUGUCCUCAUCUACACCCACAGCGAACAAGACAACGGGCAAUGUACAAAUGGCUCUCGCAGCCUCACUGUGGCGCAAGACAAGCCUGAUUCGUGCGUAUGUGUGUGGGGCGAGGGAGUCCCAGGUCUCUGGUGUGCCUCCCUCUGGGAGUGCCCACACGCAGCACAGUUGAGAGGAACAAGCCUGUGAGGCAGGGACCAGAAGCCCCGCUGUGCCAUCCAAGCACCUGCAGGGUCUGGUCCCGGCGAGUUCUGAGCCGCACCUCCCAUAGCCCCCUGCCCCAAAGGCCAACGGCCCUUGCCCACCCACAUGCUCCAUGGGGCCCCUCUCCAACCACGUAUGCUGUUCCUUUCAUCUGAAAUGCCACCUUCGGGGCGCCUGGGUGGCUCAGUGGA